UAAAUAUGUGUAUAUAUAAAUAUGUGUUUAUUGUUUUUAUAAUUUAUAGAAUAAAGCUAAUUUCCCUAUACUAGAACCCGAUAACUAUUCACAUGAAGAAUUACAUUAUGUAAAAAAAAAUAUAUAUAUAUAUAUAUAUAUAUUUUAAAUGAAGAUAUUAUUAAAUGCGUGUUUUGGUAUUUAAAUAAUUAUUAUAGCAUGUGUCAUAUAUUUUAUUAUUUUUUUAUAAACACAUUUAGGAUAUGCCGGCUUGGAUUGAAGAUAUGAUUAUAUUGUCAAACAAAAGUAAAGGCACUUUAGAGUCGUUAGGUUUAGAAAACCUACCAGAUUUCAACGAAUGCAAAAAGAUUAGCAAUUUUCAGGAACAAAUUCUAUGCAUAGUUGAAGCACUUGAAGACAUUAAGGACACUUACCAAAAUGCUAAAGACAUAACUUCACUAACAGCAAGAGUUUUGGCUGGAGGAAGACUAGCCGUACGGGCUUUAUCAAGACUGCAAACUUUGGCCUCAACCAUUGAUAACAAACAGCUAAUGAAAAAAAUAGGAACACCAAUGGCUACACUGAUAUUACUGCAAAGAGAAACUACAUCAGAUAGAACCAGGUGGUUAUGUGGAUCUAUUUUAACUCUGUUAACUGAUUUACCAGUAGUAUCAGACAUAGCGGAUGUAAAUACAGGGUCGUAUGGUCACGUAAACGUCAUCAUGCCCAGACAGUCUAGAAUUAGAAAUCCUGAUAGAACAAUUUUGAGGCUAAGAGAAGGUGUUUCACCUUCAGAUCUAAUAAAUGGAUAUACAUCAAUUCUAGCGAAUUAUACAAUAUAAACCUUUUCCGAAGGAUUGUUUUAUUUUUUUUUUAUAAAUUGUUUUGUUUUAUUUUUUUAUUUAAAAAGAAAAAGUAAAAACACAUUGUUUCACAUUUUUAAAAUAAAAAUGUUUAAUUUUUUUAAUUUUUUGUUUUA
rnacentral:lncRNA from 1 species